UUUUAUGAUACAGGUUGUUCUACAACGAGAAUCAUCGGCUAACGAUAGCAGUAUUCUCUUCCCAGUAGACUUGGUGAGCCCCACUCUAACCCGGGGUCGUGUCAUGUAUCGUUUAUUCACUUCUCAUCAUGUUUUGAGGUAUAGUCGGAGCCUUGUUACCGUCAUUUCCCUAUUUCUCUUCUUUUGUACUUAGAGGCUUUGUAGACUGCUUAUGGGUGGUAGUUGAUAUUGGGCUUCAGGACUAGAAAUAUUAAUAUUUGACAAACAUGCUUUU
rnacentral:lncRNA from 1 species